rnacentral:rRNA from 1 species
GCAGCAUUUCAGUUUGCUUGCAAACUGGAGAUGGCGACCGGCGCACGGGUGAGUAACACGUAUCCAACCUGCCGAUAACUCGGGGAUAGCCUUUCGAAAGAAAGAUUAAUACCCGAUGGUAUAAUNANACCGCAUGGUCUUGUUAUUAAAGAAUUUCGGUUAUCGAUGGGGAUGCGUUCCAUUAGGCAGUUGGUGAGGUAACGGCUCACCAAACCUUCGAUGGAUAGGGGUUCUGAGAGGAAGGUCCCCCACAUUGGAACUGAGACACGGUCCAAACNNNNNNGGGAGGCAGCAGUGAGGAAUAUUGGUCAAUGGGCGCAGGCCUGAACCAGCCAAGUAGCGUGAAGGAUGACUGCCCUAUGGGUUGUAAACUUCUUUUAUAUGGGAAUAAAGUUUUCCACGUGUGGAAUUUUGUAUGUACCAUAUGAAUAAGGAUCGGCUAACUCCGUGCCAGCAGCCGCGGUAAUACGGAGGAUCCGAGCGUUAUCCGGAUUUAUUGGGUUUAAAGGGAGCGUAGGUGGACAGUUAAGUCAGUUGUGAAAGUUUGCGGCUCAACCGUAAAAUUGCAGUUGAUACUGGCUGUCUUGAGUACAGUAGAGGUGGGCGGAAUUCGUGGUGUAGCGGUGAAAUGCUUAGAUAUCACGAAGAACUCCGAUUGCGAAGGCAGCUCACUGGACUGCAACUGACACUGAUGCUCGAAAGUGUGGGUAUCAAACAGGAUUAGAUACCCUGGUAGUCCACACAGUAAACGAUGAAUACUCGCUGUUUGCGAUAUACAGUAAGCGGCCAAGCGAAAGCAUUAAGUAUUCCACCUGGGGAGUACGCCGGCAACGGUGAAACUCAAAGGAAUUGACGGGGGCCCGCACAAGCGGAGGAACAUGUGGUUUAAUUCGAUGAUACGCGAGGAACCUUACCCGGGCUUAAAUUGCAUUUGAAUAUAUUGGAAACAGUAUAGCCGUAAGGCAAAUGUGAAGGUGCUGCAUGGUUGUCGUCAGCUCGUGCCGUGAGGUGUCGGCUUAAGUGCCAUAACGAGCGCAACCCUUAUCUUUAGUUACUAACAGGUCAUGCUGAGGACUCUAGAGAGACUGCCGUCGUAAGAUGUGAGGAAGGUGGGGAUGACGUCAAAUCAGCACGGCCCUUACGUCCGGGGCUACACACGUGUUACAAUGGGGGGUACAGAAGGCAGCUACCUGGUGACAGGAUGCUAAUCCCAAAAGCCUCUCUCAGUUCGGAUCGAAGUCUGCAACCCGACUUCGUGAAGCUGGAUUCGCUAGUAAUCGCGCAUCAGCCAUGGCGCGGUGAAUACGUUCCCGGGCCUUGUACACACCGCCCGUCAAGCCAUGAAAGCCGGGGGUACCUGAAGUACGUAACCGCAAGGAGC